UGAAAAAGUGAUGAAACAGAUCGAUUAAGUAAAGUAAAGCAAAGAUAAAAUCUUGUACCUUUUGCAUCAUGGCUUAGCAAGUAGACCCGAAAAUACUGCCGCCCCCCCGAAACUAGACGAGCUACCCUGGGAUUACCUAUAAGGGUUGAUCCGUAUCUGUGGCAAAAGAUUGGAAAAAGCCCUGGGUAGAGGUGAAAAGCCUACCGAGCCUAGUGAUAGCUGGUUACUUAAGAAACAAGUUUAAGCUUGAUCUUAAUUUGUAGAUAAGCAACAAAAUUACUUAUAAAUUUAAACAUCUUACUACUCUACAUUUUAAGUUUUAUUCACUAGGGGUACAGCCCUAGCGAACAGAGAUACAGCUCUAUUAAUUAGAUAAUAUCCCACCUAUAAACUUAAGUAGGCCUAAAAGCAGCCACCAAGAAGAAAAGCGUUACAGCUUAAGUUUACUAAACUUUAAAUACCAUAAUAUAUAAAGACCCUAUAACCACUAUUAAGUAAUCCUAUAUAAU
rnacentral:rRNA from 1 species